CGAAACGAAGUGAUCUAUCCAUGAGCAAGUUGAAGCUAGUGUAAGAACUAGUGGAGGACUGAACCCGCUAGCGUUGAAAAGCUAUGGGAUGACUUGUGGAUAGGGGUGAAAGGCCAAUCAAACUUCGUGAUAGCUGGUUCUCUCCGAAAUAUAUUUAGGUAUAGCGUUGUGUCGUAGUAUAAGGGGGUAGAGCACUGAAUGGGCUAGGGCAUACACCAAUGUACCAAACCCUAUCAAACUCCGAAUACCUUAUAUGUAAUCACAGCAGUCAGGCGGCGAGUGAUAAAAUCCGUCGUCAAGAGGGAAACAACCCAGACUAUCAGCUAAGGUCCCCAAGUCUUACUUAAGUGGAAAACGAUGUGAAGUUACUUAAACAACCAGGAGGUUGGCUUAGAAGCAGCCAUCCUUUAAAGAAAGCGUAAUAGCUCACUGGUCUAGUGAUUUUGCGCGGAAAAUAUAACGGGGCUAAAGUAAGCA
rnacentral:rRNA from 1 species